rnacentral:rRNA from 1 species
AUUGGACGCUGGCGGCAGGCCUAACACAUGCAAGUCGAGCGAGCGGCGGACGGGUGAUUAAUGUAUGGGGACUGCCCGAUAGAGGGGGAUAACUCCUGGAAACGCUGGCUCAUACCCCAUACUGUCGGGUAACCCCUAUGGGAUUAGCUAGUAGGUAAGGGAAUGGCUUACCUAGGCGACGAUCCCUAGCUGGUCUGAGAGGAUGAUCAGCCACACUGGGACUGAGACACGGCCCAGACUCCUACGGAGGCAGCAGUGGGGAAUAUUGCACAAUGGGCGCAAGCCUGAUGCAGCCAUGCCGCGUGUAUGAAGAAGGCCUUAGGGUUGUAAAGUACUUUCAGUCGGGAGGCGUUACCGACAGAAGAAGCACCGGCUAACUCCGUGCCAGCAGCCGCGGUAAUUC